UUGGAAUGAUGGGAAUUUAAACCUCUUCCAGAGUAUCAAUUGGAGGGCAAGUCUGGUGCCAGCAGCCGCGGUAAUUCCAGCUCCAAUAGCGUAUAUUAAAAUUGUUGCAGUUAAAAAGCUCGUAGUUGAAUUUCUGCUGCAUUGCUUUUGCUCCUUUACGAGUCUUUGCAUUGUGGCUUAUUUCGGACUUUGUUUUACAAUGUCCGGAUGUUUACUUUGAGAAAAUUAGAGUGCUCAAAGCAGGCUUUCGCCUUGAAUAGUUUAGCAUGGAAUAAUAAAGUAGGACUUUGGUUCUAUUUUGUUGGUUUUAGGUACCAAAGUAAUGGUUAAUAGGAACAGUUGGGGGCAUUCGUAUUUAACUGUCAGAGGUGAAAUUC
rnacentral:rRNA from 1 species